rnacentral:rRNA from 1 species
GCGGCGUGCUUAACACAUGCAAAUCGAACGGAGAGCCUAUGACGGAGUUUUCGGACAACUGAUUAGGUUUCUUAGUGGCGGACGGGUGAGUAACGCGUGAGCAAUCUACCUUCCAGUGAGGGAUAACAACCGGAAACAGUUGCUAAUACCUCAUGAAAUAGCAGCAUCGCAUGGUGCAACUAUCAAAGAUUUAUUGCUGGAAGGUGAGCUUGCGUCUGAUUAGAGAGUAGGCGGGGUAGCGGCCCACCUAGUCGACGAUCAGUAGCCGGACUGAGAGGUUGAACGGCCACAUUGGAACUGAGAUACGGUCCAGACUCCUACGGGAGGCAGCAGUGGGGAAUAUUGGGCAAUGGGCGAAAGCCUGACCCAGCGACGCCGCGUGAGGGAAGAAGAUCUUCGGAUUGUAAACCUUAGUCAACAGGGAAGAAGAAAGUGACGGUACCUGUGGAGGAAGCCACGGCUAACUACGUGCCAGCAGCCGCCGUAAGAC